AUACGGAGGAUCCGAGCGUUAUCCGGAUUUAUUGGGUUUAAAGGGUGCGCAGGCGGGAGAUUAAGUCGGCGGUGAAAUUUUGCAGCUCAACUGUAAAAGUGCCUUCGAAACUGGGUUUCUUGAGUGUAGAUGAAGUAGGCGGAAUUUGUGGUGUAGCGGUGAAAUGCAUAGAUAUCACGGGGAACUCCGAUUGCGCAGGCAGCGUACUAAACUACUACUGACGCUCAGGCACGAAGGCGUGAGGAUCAAACAGGAUUAGAUACCCUGGUAGUCCACGCAGUAAACGAUGAUUACUAGCUGUUUGCGAUACAAUGUAAGCGGCUGAGCGAAAGCGUUAAGUAAUCCACCUGGGGAGUACGUUCGCAAGAAUGAAACUCAAAUGAAUUGACGGGU
rnacentral:rRNA from 1 species